rnacentral:lncRNA from 1 species
UCCAAGGUUGCCAACACCAAAAGACAAACAACAAUGGCAACCUAGUAAAAUUAAUUUGCAAACUAACACCUAUGCUUUAUUUGAUUAUUUCUAUAGGUGGACGUUUGAUCCAGGAGGACAAGCUUUGAAGAAACAAGAUGCUGCUAUCCGAGAUCAAGCCUGAAGGUCUGAGGAUAGAUGCUUCUCAAAAGCCGGAGGAGAUGAUGGACACCAUCCAGCCACAACCACCCCCUAAGCAAAGCCUUGGAUUUGAGGACAAAUCCUUUUCAAGAGGGAGGGGAUGAUGGAGGAAGGCCCAAGCUCACACUAUGAAAGCCAAGCUUCCAAGACCAAGACCGUCUAGCCUUCCAAAAGGAGCGUCUAGCCUCACAAGGAGUGUCUAGCCUCACAAAGGGAGCGACUAGCCAUGAUGAGGAGCGUCUAGGCCAAGGCUACAUGAGGAGCAUCUAUGAAGAGUCCUAGACCGUCUAGCUUCACACACACAAGGGCCAAAGCUACGGUUUGGGAGAGAAGAGGCUUUGUUGCAUAAAAGGCCCAUUAGGGGUACUUAGUAAGAUAGGUAGUGUAGAAAGAAC